rnacentral:rRNA from 1 species
CCUACGGGAGGCAGCAGUGGGGAAUAUUGCACAAUGGGGGAAACCCUGAUGCAGCGACGCCGCGUGAGUGAAGAAGUAAUUCGUUAUGUAAAGCUCUAUCAGCAGGGAAGAAAAUGACGGUACCUGAGUAAGAAGCCCCGGCUAACUACGUGCCAGCAGCCGCGGUAAGACGUAGGGGGCAAGCGUUAUCCGGAUUUACUGGGUGUAAAGGGAGCGUAAACGGCAGUGCAAGUCUGGAGUGAAAGGCGGGGGCUCAACCCCCGGACUGCUGUGGAAACUGGACGGAUGGAGUGCAGGAGAGGUAAGUGGAAUUCCUAGUGUAGCGGUGAAAUGCGUAGAUAUUAGGAGGAACACCAGUGGCGAAGGCGGCUUACUGGACUGUAACUGACGUUGAGGCUCGAAAGCGUGGGGAGCAAACAGGAUUAGAUACCCCUGUAGUC